UACGCAGGGGGCUAGCGUUGUUCGGCCUCACUGGGCGUAAAGCGCACGUAGGCGGAUUUGUUAGUCAGGGGUGAAAUCCCGGGGCUCAACCUCGGAACUGCCUUUGAUACUGCAGAUCUCGAGUCCGGAAGAGGUGAGUGGAAUUCCUAGUGUAGAGGUGAAAUUCGUAGAUAUUAGGAAGAACACCAGUGGCGAAGGCGGCUCACUGGUCCGGUACUGACGCUGAGGUGCGAAAGCGUGGGGAGCAAACAGG
rnacentral:rRNA from 1 species